rnacentral:misc_RNA from 1 species
UCCGGUUUGUCACCGGCAGUCUCGCAUGAGUCCCCAACUAAAUGCUGGCAACAUGCGACAGGGGUUGCGCUCGUUGCGGGACUUAACCCAACAUCUCACGACACGAGCUGACGACAACCAUGCACCACCUGUGUAAGGCCCAAAAGGACACCGUAUCUCUACGGCUUUUCCCUACAUGUCAAACCCAGGUAAGGUUCUUCGCGUUGCGUCGAAUUAAACCACAUGCUCCACCGCUUGUGCGGGCCCCCGUCAAUUCCUUUGAGUUUCAGCCUUGCGGCCGUACUCCCCAGGCGGGGCACUUAAUGCGUUAGCUACGGCACGGAGAGCGUUGAUAACUCCCCACACCUAGUGCCCAACGUUUACGGCGUGGACUAC